rnacentral:rRNA from 1 species
UACGUAGGUGGCAAGCGUUGUCCGGAAUUAUUGGGCGUAAAGCGCUUGUAGGCGGCACGUCAAGUCGCGUGUGAAAUCCCCAGGCUUAACCUGGGAAGUGCGCGCGAAACUGACGAGCUUGAGUGCCGGAGAGGGUCGCGGAAUUCCCGGUGUAGAGGUGAAAUUCGUAGAUAUCGGGAGGAACACCAGUGGCGAAGGCGGCGACCUGGACGGACACUGACGCUGAGACGCGAAAGCGUGGGGAGCAAACAGG